rnacentral:rRNA from 1 species
GGCUAAAAAAAUAUAAAUACGAACGAGCCCGAUCUCGUCUGAUCUUGGAAGCUAAGCAGGGUCGGGCCUGGUUGGUACUUGGAUGGGAGACCGCCUUAGAAUACCGGGUGCUGUAGGCA